rnacentral:rRNA from 1 species
GAUGAACGCUGGCGGCGUGCCUAAUACAUGCAAGUCGAGCGAAUGGAUUAAGAGCUUGCUCUUAUGAAGUUAGCGGCGGACGGGUGAGUAACACGUGGGUAACCUGCCCAUAAGACUGGGAUAACUCCGGGAAACCGGGGCUAAUACCGGAUAACAUUUUGAACCGCAUGGUUCGAAAUUGAAAGGCGGCUUCGGCUGUCACUUAGGGAUGGACCCGCGUCGCAUUAGCUAGUUGGGGAGGUAACGGCUCACCAAGGCAACGAUGCGUAGCCGACCGGAGAGGGUGAUCGGCCACACUGGGACUGAGACACGGCCCAGACUCCUACGGGAGGCAGCAGUAGGGAAUCUUCCGCAAUGGACGAAAGUCUGACGGAGCAACGCCGCGUGAGUGAUGAAGGCUUUCGGGUCGUAAAACUCUGUUGUUAGGGAAGAACAAGUGCUAGUUGAAUAAGCUAGCACCUUGACGGUACCUAACCAGAAAGCCACGGCUAACUACGUGCCAGCCGCCGCGGUAA